rnacentral:rRNA from 1 species
GCUUGUGGCCUUACCACUGUGAACACACCUGACCUCUGAAUCUAACAGCUUGGGGGCUGGUUAGUACUUGGAUGGGAAACCACUUAGGAAUACUGGGUGCUGUAGCCU